CCAGCACUCAUUCCACUGUAUCAAAUGUGCAUGACAAAUUCCAGAUAAAAGGAUAUCAGUUGUGCUUGGAAUGAUCACUGUGCUGCAAAGCCUGAUCACAUCAAUGAGCAUAUUGCACAAUAAUCAGCAUACUUCAUGAAUCUAUUCAAGGAAUGAGAUUGGCCACUAGACUCUUUUU